CCACAGCAAUGACGUCAUGUGCAAACAACCAAUUACAGUCUUGACCCGCCCAUCUUGUUACCUGAUUAUUGGUUCAGUUGCUGCACCUGUUGUUCCUUCAUUACCUUCCUUGUUUGCUCCCUAUUUAUUCUCCUUGUGUUUGCAGUCCUGUGUCAGUUUGUUGUCAAAUGUGUGUGUUGCUCCCUGCCCUGCCCGGUUUCCCCUUGGGGUAGUUUUUGUUUUGUUUUAUAAAUAAAGGGCCCAGACUUUCUGCAACUGAGUUCUCACUUCAUCUCUUCACCCAACCCUGACAAAAACUAAAACCAUUAAAACAUAAAUUAGCUUUUGAGGUAAAGCUAAAAUCAAAUAUUUUUAAAUAUAUAUAUAUAUAAGUGAUUUAUUUGAUGGCAUGUGUGAAGCUCAUUUGUGGAGUGGACAGGCAAUGACCCCUCAAAUCACACCAAAUGAUUAAUAUGAGCUGAAUAAACAGAGCAGCGAUGGCUGAUGUACACACUGUGAACUCAGGAAUAUGGUGUGUUACAGAUGAACAGCGAGGCAAACAGAGGGACGUGUGGAACAGACUGUGGAUGAGGACGUCAAUACCGAGACCACACAUCCAUUUGUUUAUCUGCAAUAUCUUCCUUUUGUAUAGACUGAUACUUUUUAUGGAGAACCUUAAAACUGUUCUUGCGUAUCAUGGGAAAAAUGUAUUGGGAUUCUGCUCAAUUUCAUAAUCAGUUUAGUUGUUGUUGUAUAAUCAAACUGUCGUGUUUAAAAAAAAAAAAGAAAAAGAAAAGAAAAAGAAAAGUGUAUUACUUGGAAUUUUUAAAUGAGACCAAAGUGUUUUUGUGUUUAACACGCAUUAUACUGUAUAUGUGACCCUGGAGCACAAAACCAGUCAUAAAGGUCAAUUUUUUUUUUUUUUUUUUUUUUUUGAAAUUGAGAUUUAUACAUCAUCUGAAAGCUGAAUAAAUAAGCUUUCCAUUUAUGUAUUUUGUUAGGUUUGUUAGGAUAGGACAAUAUUUGGCUGAGAUAGAACUAUUUGAAAAUCUGGAAUCUAAGGGUGCAAAAAAAAAAAAAAAAAAAUAAUAAUCUAAAUAUUGAGAAAAUCACCUUUAAAGUUGUCCAAAUGAAGAUCUUAGCAAUGCAUAUUACUAAUCAAAAAUUACGUUUUAAUAUAUUUACAGUAGGGAAUUUACAAAAUAUAUUCAUGGAACAUGAUCUUUAAUUAAUAUCAUAAUAUUUUUUGGCAUAAAAUAAAAAUCAAUAAGUUUGACCCAUACAAUGUAUUUUUGGCUAUUGCUACAAAUAUACCCCAGCGACUCAAGACUGCUUCUGUGCUCCAGGGACACAUAUAGGAAACCAUUAUAUAUUAAAUUCAGUGGCACCAAAAAGUAUUUGGGCAUUUAAGUUACAUUUAAGGUUGCUUAUUUAUGUAUGUGUGUGUGUGUGUGUGUGCGUGUAUACACAUUCAAUCUCAGAUGACAUUCUAACAUUCAUGAUUACAGCAAGAUUACAGUGUCUUCCAACGAAGUAUAAUUUGGCAACAUGGUAUCCAUCAAAGCAUGAACACUACUGUAUAUUACAUCCAACUCAGCAGGAAAAUGAAACGGUUGCUCAUAUACUAAAUGGAUGCUACAAUUAUUAGAAUCAUGUCUAGGGCCA
ensembl:lncRNA